ACUGGUGUCAGCCGCCGCGGUAAUACCAGCUCUCCGAGUGGUAGGGACGAUUAUUGGGCCUAAAGCGUUCGUAGCCGGCUUGGCAAGUCUCUCGUUAAAUCCAGUGACCUAAUCGCUGGGCUGCGGGAGAUACUGUCAGGCUUGGGAGCGGAAGAGGUCGACGGUAUUCUCGGGGUAGAGGUGAAAUCCUAUAAUCCCGGGAGGACCACCAGUGGCGAAGGCUGUCGACUAGAACGCGCCCGACGGUGAGGGAUGAAAGCUGGGGUAGCGAACCGGAUUAGAUACCCGGGUAGUCCCAGCUGUAAACGAUGCAGGCUAGGUGUUGGCGCGGCUACGUGCCGCUCCAGUGCCGCAGGGAAGCUGUUAA
rnacentral:rRNA from 1 species